UAUGACAAAAUGUAAAAUUUGAAAUACAACUUUAAGAUAUUUUUUAAUCCAUUCAGUUUUGGCUUAUGUAAGUUUCACUGUAUUUAACUAGAUGUAAAGAACUAUAAACACACAUUCACACAAUUCACUUAAAGGUAUGUUUCCAGGAAAUAAAAGUAUACUUAUUGGAUUCAUUUCAACGUUACACCUUAGAACACGCAAUGAUACCUCAUUAUUAGGCAUUUUCGAUAGUCUUGAAAUAGCAUAACUGGUAACAUAUCUUUCUAAAUUCAGUUCUUGAUAAAUUAUGUUCAACAUCAUUUAGCAUUUGCAGUUUUAUAACUAAAUUAGAUUUCAGUAGGUCUAUUACACUAAACACUUACAGUUAUUCAUUAUUAUUUUCUUAACAUUUCAACAAAACAAUGAACUUCCUUUCUAAGAAUGCAUACUGAACAAUGAAAAUUCCAAAUAUUAUAUAUGAUUUACCAGAACUAUAAUAUCAGUUAAUAGUGAUUUUUUUAAAUUGAAUUUGAUUAAUUCAAGCAAUUCACUUGAAGGUAUGUUUCCUGGAAAUAAAAGUAUACUUAUUCAAUUCAGCGUUACACCUUAGAACAGGUAAUGAUACCUCAUUGUUAGGCAUUUUCGAUAGUCUUGAAAUAUCAUUACUGGUAACAUAUCUUACUAAAUUCAGUUCUUGCUAAAUUUUGUUCAGCAUCAUUUAGCAUUUGCAGUUUUAUAGCUAAAUUAGAUUUCAGUAGGUCUAUUACACUAAGCACUUACAGUUGUUCAGUGUUAUUUUCUUUACAUUUCAGAAAAACAAUGAACUUCCUUUCUACGAUUCCAAAUAUGAUAUAUGCUUUACCAGAACCAUAAUUUGUCAGUUAAUAGUGAUUUAAUCUUCAUAGAUAAGCAUAUCCAAAAGUCUUGAAAUAUCAGAGCUGGUAGCAUAUCUUAAAUAUAUUCAGUUUUUAUUAAAUAACAUGUUCAUCAUUUAACUUCAGUAGUUUCACAGCUAAAUUACAUCCCAAUAUGUUCAUUAGAGUGGACACACUCUUUCAUCUUUUAUACUCUUUACGUUCUAAUAAUGAAAUGAAGUUUAUUUCUAAGAAAGCAUAUUGAAUCCUGUAAAGCAUAUUGAUUUCUUAAUCAAAGCACAAUUAAUGUUGUAAAUAUUCAGAUAGAUAUAUAUGAAAUGUAUUU